rnacentral:misc_RNA from 1 species
AUGCGAUAAGUAAUGUGAAUUGCAGAAUUCAGUGAAUCAUCGAAUCUUUGAACGCACAUUGCGCCCGCCAGUAUUCUGGCGGGCAUGCCUGUUCGAGCGUCAUUUCAACCAUCAAGCCCCGGCGCUUGUGUUGGGGACCCGCGGCUGCCGCGGGCCCUUAAAGACAGUGGCGGUCCUCGCUGCAGCACCGAGCGUAGUAGCUAUACACCUCGCCCUGGGAGCUGCGCGUGUCGACCACGCCGUAAAACCCCCCACCUCUCACAAGGUUGACCUCGGAUCAGGUAGGAAUACCCGCUGAACUUAA